rnacentral:rRNA from 1 species
GAUGAACGCUGGCGGCGUGCCUAAUACAUGCAAGUCGAGCGAACAGACGAGGAGCUUGCUCCUUUGACGUUAGCGGCGGACGGGUGAGUAACACGUAGGUAACCUACCUAUAAGACUGGGAUAACUUCGGGAAACCGGAGCUAAUACCGGAUAAUAUUUCGAACCGCAUGGUUCGAUAGUGAAAGAUGGCUUUGCUAUCACUUAUAGAUGGACCUGCGCCGUAUUAGCUAGUGGGUAAGGUAACGGCUUACCAAGGCAACGAUACGUAGCCGACCUGAGAGGGUGAUCGGCCACACUGGAACUGAGACACGGUCCAGACUCCUACGGGAGGCAGCAGUAGGGAAUCUUCCGCAAUGGGCGAAAGCCUGACGGAGCAACGCCGCGUGAGUGAUGAAGGUCUUCGGAUCGUAAAACUCUGUUAUUAGGGAAGAACAAACGUGUAAGUAACUGUGCACGUCUUGACGGUACCUAAUCAGAAAGCCACGGCUAACUACGUG